CCGAGCAAGUACACCAGUUACCAGUUACCAGUACUCCGAGUACCCUUUAAAUAGAACCAGUACUCUAACCCAACCCAGUAAUGAACUUUAAAGAGAGUGCCCUGGCAGGAUGACUAAUUCCAGAGCAUGUGUACUCAUAGACCCUGAUAUCUCUUUCCAAGAAGUGUCGUCAUGGAUCAUGGGGUAGGAUAGGAAUCUUUAUGAAGCACCACCACUGUCCUACUCCGUGAUUAUAUAAUCAAUAAUAAUUGUCCCGAAAAAAGGACAUUAGUUAGAGGUGCCAAGCAGGCCAGACUGAUUGGGGGGACUAACACCCUUAUCAGAGUGGGUUGAGCAAACACCCACUGUAUCUGUAUCUGUAUCUGUAUCUGUAUCUGUGCAUCCGCUGUUUCUGUUUUCUGUUCUGGCAGAUAAGCGCCGCCGGCCCAGAGCUCCACGAAAAAUAAAUCAUAAAAUAUUUUAUAUAUACACUGCUCCGGGGGAUUAAAGAAAUAAAAGAAAAGUUAAGAAAUCCAAGAAAAUUAUUAAGAAAUAUUAAUUACUCACUAAGGCGAAUGUAAUUCUUCACAAUCUGACAAAGAAAGAAUUCUUCUUUGUAACAACAUGUUUACAAACGAAAAUAUAACAAAAUAAAUAAAAUGCCUUUCGAACAAAUGCAAA